rnacentral:rRNA from 1 species
UGGGGACAACAGGAUAAGAAACNCNNGUANGUCAACUGAAUUUCGCUAAGAAAGUCUUUUGACACCUCUAAAAAUGGUGUAUAAUAAGGGGUGGGCAAGUCUGGUGUCAACAGCCGCGGUAAUACCAGCACCCCGAGUGGUCGGGACGAUUAUUGGGCCUAAAGCAUCCGUAGCCGGUUUUACAAGUCCUCCGUUAAAUCCAGCUGCUUAACAGAUGGGCUGCGGAGGAUACUAUAAGACUAGGAGGCAGGAGAGGCAAUGUGGUAUCAGUGGGUAGGGGUAAAAUCGUUGAUCGCCGACGAGCCCGCGCCCGCCGCCGCCCCCGCCCCACGGGGUGCAGCAAGGCGCGAAAAGCAGGGACAAACAGG